UUUUUUCACUAAACACAUAAGAAAACUAAACCCUGGCCCCAAAAUUCAAAAUGGUUGAAUCCUAGCCCUAAACCAAUUUGUGCUCUGCUCUCCUCCUCAUACUCUCUUCGGCAGUGGUGCAACAUCUUCACCGUCAUGUCUAACAUUGUAAUCCUUCACAUUUCACCUCCGACGUAAUCCUUCUCGUCUCGAUCGCAACUUCGCCAUCGCAUCUCAACUUUUGUACCAUCAUCUUGUGUUUUCUAAGAUUGGAUUUGUUUUGCUGCUCUUCAAAUAUUGAAAAACACCAACAUGAAUGGUCAUGAUAACAUUGUAGACUCUGAGAUGGAAGGGAGUUUUGAUUCUAUUCCUCCUCCUUCAGUUUCAAACACUACCAUGUUGUCGCCUAAGCGUAAAAAUAGGUCGGAAGCAUCGAAUCAUUUUACCCCACAACAAGGCAAAAAAGAUCAGCAAAAUGUGGUCGCACGAUCCAAUAUAGCAGUGGAACAAUUGCGAUGCGAGCCCAUUUGACAAUAUGUGAAGAUUAUCUAGAAAAUGUGGCAAAUAGAGAGCAUGAAUUAGCUUCAUGUUCAAUCGAAGUAGGGAAGUUGUUAGUUCAUCAUCUUCUUUUCCCAACUUUGACCAAGAAGUCGAAUUGACUUGAUGAACAUGUUUGUAGCCAUGGAAAUCCCGUUUCGACAAGUGGAACAUCCAUAUUUUCAUAAGUUUGCUAAUGGUUUACAACUAUGGUUUAACUUUCCAUCAUGCACUACACUAGCACGUGAUAUUUUAAAGCAAUUGGAGACAAUAAAAAGAAGGCUGAAGAAUAUUUUGUCACAACAUUGUCAUCGAAGAUAUCUCACCACUAACACUUGGACAUCCACCCAAGAUUUUAAUACAUGUGUCUCGCAUCUCAUUUCAUUGAUAACAAUUGGAAGUUGCAGAAAAGGAUUUUAAAUUUUCUCCAAGUCACUAACUACACGGGAGAAAUAAUGGCCAAAACGGUUAAACAAUGCUUAAAUGGUUGGGAGUUAGGUCAUGUGCUUAGUGUGACAAUGGAUAACGCCUCCUUAAAUUAUAUUGGAAUUCAAUAUCUCAAAAGAUGGCUUCUAUCGCAGAAUGGUCUAGUUUUGAACGGAGAGUACCUUCACACGCGAUGUUGUGCACAUGUAUUAAAUCUUAUUGUGAAGGAUGGAAUGAGCUUAAUAAACGUUUAUAUUUUGAGAAUUCGUGGAGCUGUGAAGUAUGUUAGACGUUCUUCUUCGAGAUUUCAUAGAUUUAAGAAAUGUAUUGAUCUUGAGUUAAAUUAUAAAGAUUAUGCUGGAUUAGAUUCAAAGACUCGGUGGAAUUCAACUUACACAAUGUUGAAUGUUGCUUUGAAACAUGAAAAGACCUUUACGGAGUUUGAAUUCAAAUACCAGAAAUAUGUUAAUGAAGUGAAUAAGGAAAAAGAUGUUCCUACACCUAAAGAUUGGGAACAUGUUGCCUUAAUUCUUCCAUUCCUGAAGUUAUUUCAUGAAGCUACCGUUUCAGGAUCUUCUUAUUUAACAAGCAACUUGUAUAUGUUCGAGGUUUUUGGUGUCAAAAUGAAAAUUGUUGAAAUGUCUAAUAAUGAAGAUGAAAAAGCCAAGUCAAUGGUUAAAAAGAUGAAGGCGAAAUACGAGAAAUAUUGGGGAGAUCCUACUUGCCUGAAUAUGUUGUUGAUUGCUAUUGUUUUACACUAGUAAUGAUGCCACUUCUUUGAAAGAAAAAUGAGAUUCAUGUUUGAAGUCUAUCUAUGAGGAGUAUUCUAUUAGGGUGGUUCUCCUCUAGGUAAUUCUUCUAAUUUGUCAGAUGCUUUUAAUGAAGUUGGUGAUUCUUGUGAUUGUUCUUAAUUCUACAAAUCAAACGAGUGCAGUACACCAAAAUCUGAAUUAGGAGAGUAUUUGGAUGAACGUUUAGAAAAACCUUGUCCGGAUUUUGAUUUACUUAGAUGGUGGAAGGUGAACACAAGUUGAUUUCCUAUACUUGCAAGAAUUGCAAGAGAUGUUUUGGCUAUACCUAUAUCCACUAUAGUCUUUGAAUCUGCUUUCAGUACUGGAGGAAGAGUACUUGAUCCUUAUCGUAGCUCUUUGACACAACUGCCAUGGAAGCCCUUAUUUGUACCCAAGAUUGGCUCGAAGAAGCAUCUUUAUCAUUUAUUAUUAGUGAGGAUCUUGAAAAUCUUGAGCAAAUUGAGCAAGAAAUACUUUCUUCCUAAGAUGCUGCUAGUUGUUUGGCCUCUGUUACACUAGUUAAUAAUUGGUUCUGUAUCAUGUAUUGCAAAACUAUUUCAAUUCUACAAUUAUUGUUCGAAUGAUUGUUAAACUCCUAGAUAAUAUAUGUAUAUGUAUAUAUAAGGUUCAAUGUCAACUUCAAUUUAGAUUAUUAUAAGUACACAAAUGUGUCUUUGGUAGGUGGGCUAAACAUUAGAAUUUCAGUUUAUAAUGAGAAGAGUAUUGUUGUAGUUUUUGAAAUUUAA